UUCAGAUAUAGCCUCUUUCCAUUUACCUUGGAGCAGAUAUGUUUUCAUGGCUCAGACUGAAGAAAACCUUGAAACUUAAACAAAAGAACUCUGGAUCCAGUUAAGAGCAGGAGGGGGAAAGAAGCAGCAAUAUUUCAAAUGUCCAUACUCUAACCUGCAAAAGACACUGAGUAGGUGGAGAAAACUGCAUUUUACUUCAGCUCUUCCAAUUACUCAUCGUGA
rnacentral:lncRNA from 10 species